AAGUGUUGGGAUUACAGGCGUAAGCCACCGUGCCUGGCCUAUUUAUUUCCCUGAUUACCUCUAAUAAUUUUACAGAAGUCGAGAUACAAAGCUCCAAAGGGACACUCCAUUCUAGGCCUCCAUCCAUGAGCAUCCUCUACUACAUUAUUGAAGAGCUAAAGUUUGAGUUGAGUGUUUGAAGAUGAAAAAAAGUUUUUUAGACAGACAAGGAUGUGAGUGUUGUGGGGAUGGGAACAGCUUGUGCAAAGGUGCAUUAGAACCAACAAGCAUGGCCUACUCAGAAUUCAGCAAUUGAUUCAAGCUUGCAGCGGGGACAGGGAGCACGUGGAGUGGCAGGGUUCUGUUGGAGUGGCAAAGGGUGGAUUGUGCUGGGGCUUGUAAGCUACACUGAGAAGACCAGGCUAUCCUGGGAAGAAUGGGAGUUUUUGAAAUGAUUUAAGAGUGAAAUGAACUUCUGAGAUCAACAUUUUACAAGGAAUCUUAGGUCUUCUGCCUUGGAGCACCAUUAACAAUGGUCCCCUUUCUCCAAAGACUAAAAUGUUUCUCAGAUCAUAAGGGGGACAAUGAGUAUCCAAUGGCAAACGAUGCUGCUAUGAUUUGAGUAAUGGUCUCUCCUCCAAAAUUGAUAUUGGCACUUAAUCCCUGAUGCAACAGUAUUAAGGUUUGUGGCCUCUAGGAGGUAAUUAAAUCAUGAGGGCUGUGCCUUCAUGAAUGGCAUUAACACCCUUGUAAAAGGACUUGAGGUUGAAGGGAGUCUCUUCCACCAUCUUCCUUCCAUGUGAGGACACAGCAACUAGGCACCAUCUUGAAAACAGAGAGCUUCCUCACCUCUCUGUUGGUGCCUUGAUCUUGGACUUCCCAGCCUCCACAACUAUAAG
rnacentral:pre_miRNA from 1 species